GGGGGUGUAUAGGUUUCGACUUAGAAAUGAAGUGUUAAUUGCAUGCGGAGGGCGUUGGCUGGCCUCCUAAAAAGCCGACAAAACAAUAAAUGCCGAACCUAAGGCUGAAUGCGAAAUUAUCAGCUUCUCUGAUCUUACUGAAGAAAGAUUAGCUGCGUAAUUAGCAAAAGUUGUUAUCUAAUUUAGAUAACCCGGUGCUCUUUGGAUCGACCAGAGUCUAGAGAGACACCGUCAUACAUCUGGUUUGAAUUUAUUCCUUCUAAUUCUCAAAGGAGUAUAUUCGAGAUUUUUGAGAGUCAUUGACUUCUAUAGACGUUCUUAGCUAAGGGAGUUCAAUGUAAUAUUACUAGGGACUAAGCAUGUAGACGUUAACAGGGAGUUUACUAAGGACGAGAGUUCGAGUCUCUCCACCUCCAAAU
rfam:Chlamydia psittaci 10_743_SC13 genomic scaffold CP_10_743_SC13.contig.1, whole genome shotgun sequence.